rnacentral:rRNA from 1 species
GUGGGGAAUCUUGCGCAAUGGGCGAAAGCCUGACGCAGCCAUGCCGCGUGGAUGAUGAAGGUCUUAGGAUUGUAAAAUCCUUUCACCGGUGAAGAUAAUGACUGUAGCCGGAGAAGAAGCCCCGGCUAACUUCGUGCCAGCAGCCGCGGUAAUACGAAGGGGGCUAGCGUUGCUCGGAUUUACUGGGCGUAAAGGGCGCGUAGGCGGACAGUUUAGUCAGAGGUGAAAGCCCAGGGCUCAACCUUGGAAUUGCCGUUGAUACUGGCUGUCUUGAGUACGGGAGAGGUGAGUGGAACUCCGAGUGUAGAGGUGAAAUUCGUAGAUAUUCGGAAGAACACCAGUGGCGAAGGCGACUCACUGGCCCGUUACUGACGCUGAGGCGCGAAAGCGUGGGGAGCAAACAGGAUUAGAUACCCCAGUAGUCC